rnacentral:rRNA from 1 species
AGGACGAACGCUGGCGGCGUGCCUAAUACAUGCAAGUAGAACGCUGAAGUCCGGUACUUGUACCGGAUGGAUGAGUUGCGAACGGGUGAGUAACGCGUAGGUAACCUGCCUGGUAGCGGGGGAUAACUAUUGGAAACGAUAGCUAAUACCGCAUAACAGUAGCUAACACAUGUUAGCUGUUUGAAAGGGGCAACUGCUCCACUACCAGAUGGACCUGCGUUGUAUUAGCUAGUUGGUAAGGUAACGGCUUACCAAGGCGACGAUACAUAGCCGACCUGAGAGGGUGAUCGGCCACACUGGGACUGAGACACGGCCCAGACUCCUACGGGAGGCAGCAGUAGGGAAUCUUCGGCAAUGGGGGGAACCCUGACCGAGCAACGCCGCGUGAGUGAAGAAGGUUUUCGGAUCGUAAAGCUCUGUUGUAAGAGAAGAACGUUGGUGAGAGUGGAAAGUUCACCAAGUGACGGUAACUUACCAGAAAGGGACGGCUAACUACGUGCCAGCAGCCGCGGUAAUACGUAGGUCCCGAGCGUUGUCCGGAUUUAUUGGGCGUAAAGCGAGCGCAGGCGGUUUCAUAAGUCUGAAGUAAAAGGCAGUGGCUCAACCAUUGUACGCUUUGGAAACUGUGAGACUUGAGUGCAGAAGGGGAGAGUGGAAUUCCAUGUGUAGCGGUGAAAUGCGUAGAUAUAUGGAGGAACACCGGUGGCGAAAGCGGCUCUCUGGUCUGUAACUGACGCUGAGGCUCGAAAGCGUGGGGAGCAAACAGGAUUAGAUACCCUGGUAGUCCACGCCGUAAACGAUGAGUGCUAGGUGUUAGGCCCUUUCCGGGGCUUAGUGCCGCAGCUAACGCAUUAAGCACUCCGCCUGGGGAGUACGACCGCAAGGUUGAAACUCA